AUUUAAAACCUCACAUGACAUUCUUUGGUGAAUCAGAAUGUAAAUAUCAGAAUCAGGAUGUUCUUGCAACCUCCUUGCCAGUUGAUAUUAAGGGGCUUUUGGGACACAGAUGUCUGUGAUACCCCACGAGAGACCUCCCUUGCAACUCAAUACACUGAUCUACUGAAAGAAUGAAAGCUGCAUAGAAUCCUCAGAAGGCCUAAGGUCUGGCACUCUUCAAACUUGGGCUAAAUGAAGUCUUUAUUCUGUGCUUCAAAUUCUUCCACACAAGAAGGAUUUAAAAAAAAAAUCUGUACAAACAUCAAAUGAGCAGCAUUGUCUUGUUCUAGUCCUUCCACAUUUCAGGAUGUUGAAUAAAAUUCACUGA